ACUAACUCUCUCUCUCUCUCUCUCUCUCUCUCUCUCUCUCUCUCUCUCUCUCUCUCUCGUCAAGCCUUGUGAUUUUCUGUUAUGCUUAUUUUAUGAUGUUACUGUACGUUUCUUGAUGCAAUCUGAGCUUUAAGAUCUCUCUGUUUACAGGACUGUCCUGGUCGGUAAUGUUACAGUUCCUCGUGUUAUCAUUAUUUGUGAUGGAGGUUACCGGACAUUCCACAACAGUUGAUCUAUGCGAUACUAACAACACAACUUAUGUCAAUGGCUGUACAAUGCCUCUUGACCUUGACAUUUGGUACACAGACCAUUUUGAGGACGCCUGUAAAAUCCAUGACAUUUGCUACUUUUGUGGCUAUGAUUUCAACAAAUCUCGCCAGGAAUGUGAUUCUCGUUUCUUUGAAGAUAUGAACGCUGCAUGUUGGGAGCGAACGACGUAUUUCGAAUUGCCUCUUUGCUUACUUUUCUCUUCUUCGUUCUACGUGAUUGUGAGGGUUAUAUCAGAGAGCUACUUUAUAAAUAGCCCUUCGACUUAUUGUUCUGUGUCAUGGGUUAAACAUUGUAUAGAUUUGAUUUAGAAUUUUGAAUAUAAAUAUACGAUUUCUUAAUGUGGGCCAUUUAUGUAGGUACUUUAAUUCAAUCAAGCAAUAAAAUGAAAGUCUUCAUUGUGAA